UGUCCCAUGAUGGAAAUUCGAUAGGAAAAGGUAAUUUAAGGAUGGAAAUUCCAUGGACAGGGCCAAAUUUUAAAUGGAAAUUCCAUGGAGAAGGCCUAAUUUAAAAUGGAAAUUCCAUGGGCAAGGAUAAUUUUUACAAGGAAAUUCCAUGGGAAGGGGUAAAUUUUACAUGAAAAUUUGCGAAAAUUCCAGGGAGUACCGACAUGAGAAAGGGGUUCCUCAACAGGGGGUGCGGAUAAUAAUUGGAAUAGCCCAUUGUGCUCUAAAUGACAACAUUUUUUGUAUAUACAUUAUCUUGCUUCAAAUGUAUUACAGACCUCUCAACUUUGCAGAGAAGUUAAGAAUGAGAUUGGGGAUGUGGAUGACACUUUGUAAAAGUCCGGGGGUCUGAAAUGGCAUUUCGUACAUUAUGAG
rnacentral:lncRNA from 1 species